rnacentral:tRNA from 1 species
GCUGUGGUGGUUCAGUGGUAGAGUUUUUGCCUUCCAUGUGGGAGACCCAGGUUUGAUUCCUGGUCAUUGCA